GGGCGAGUGAGCAGAAUUGGUAUUGCAGCGGUCUGUAAAAUCGUGGCUUCGGCAUUGUAGGUUCAAGUCCUACCUCUCCCA
rnacentral:tRNA from 1 species